AACGAACGCUGGCGGCGUGCUUAACACAUGCAAGUCGAACGCGAAAGGGACUUCGGUCCUGAGUAAAGUGGCGCACGGGUGAGUAACGCGUAGAUAACCUGUCUUCAUGUCUGGAAUAAUACGCCGAAAGGGGUACUAAUACCGGAUAUUCUUGCUUUUUCAUAAGUUAUGCAAGCAAAGGUGGCCUCUGCAUAUGCUACUGCAUGAAGAGGGGUCUGCGUACCAUUAGCUAGUAGGUGGGGUAAUGGCCUACCUAGGCGACGAUGGUUAGCGGGUCUGAGAGGAUGAUCCGCCACACUGGCACUGGAACACGGGCCAGACUCCUACGGGAGGCAGCAGUGAGGAAUAUUGCGCAAUGGGGGAAACCCUGACGCAGCGACGCCGCGUGAGUGAGGAAGGCCUUCGGGUCGUAAAGCUCUGUCAAGAGGAAAGGAGUGUACAAUGGCUAAUACCUGUUGUAUUUGACGGUACCUCUAAAGGAAGCACCGGCUAACUCCGUGCCAGCAGCUGC
rnacentral:rRNA from 1 species